rnacentral:rRNA from 1 species
AACGAACGCUGGCGGCGCGCCUAAUACAUGCAAGUCGAGCGAGAAGGUGUAGCAAUACACUUGUAAAGCGGCGAACGGGUGAGGAAUACAUGGGUAAUCUACCAUCGAGUGGGGAAUAACCAACCGAAAGGUUGGCUAAUACCGCGUACGCCUCCGAGUCUUCGGGUUCGGAGGGAAAGCUGCACUGUGAGUGUAGCGCUCUUUGAUGAGCUCAUGUCCUAUCAGCUUGUUGGUAGGGUAACGGCCUACCAAGGCUUUGACGGGUAGCUGGUCUGAGAGGACGAUCAGCCACAUUGGGACUGAGACACGGCCCAAACUCCUACGGGAGGCAGCAGUGGGGAAUCUUGCGCAAUGGGCGAAAGCCUGACGCAGCCAUGCCGCGUGAAUGAUGAAGGUCUUAGGAUUGUAAAGUUCUUUAGCCUGUGACGAUGAUGACGGUAACAGGAGAAUAAGCCCCGGCUAACUUCGUGCCAGCAGCCGCGGUAAUUG